GAUGAAGAACGCAGCGAAAUGCGAUACGUAAUGUGAAUUGCAGAAUUCAGUGAAUCAUCGAAUCUUUGAACGCACAUUGCGCCCGCCAGUAUUCUGGCGGGCAUGCCUGUCCGAGCGUCAUUUCAACCCUCGAACCCCUCCGGGGGGUCGGCGUUGGGGAUCGGCCCUUUACGGGGCCGGCCCCGAAAUACAGUGGCGGUCUCGCCGCAGCCUCUCCUGCGCAGUAGUUUGCACACUCGCAUCGGGAGCGCGGCGCGUCCACAGCCGUUAAACACCCCAAACUUCUGAAAUGUUGACCUCGGAUCAGGUAGGAAUACCCGCUGAACUUAAGCAUAUCAAUAAGCAGAGGA
rnacentral:misc_RNA from 1 species